rnacentral:rRNA from 1 species
UACGAGGGGGGCGAGCGUUGUUCGGAAUUAUUGGGUUUAAAGGGUGCGUAGGCGGCCUUGUAAGUCAGGGGUGAAAGACGGUAGCUCAACUAUCGCAGUGCCUUUGAUACUGCAGGGCUUGAAUGUACUUGAGGUAGGCGGAAUGUGACAAGUAGCGGUGAAAUGCAUAGAUAUGUCACAGAACACCAAUUGCGAAGGCAGCUUACUAAAGUAUGAUUGACGCUGAGGCACGAAAGCGUGGGGAUCAAACAGG